GCCAGGAAUUUUUUCAUAAAGUAUUUUCUUCAUCAGAAACUGCAAUUUUGUCAAAACCAAAACAGGUUUUCACCAAGAAGGUUUUGCAAAUCUAAAAUGGAAUUUCUGGUCCAAUCCAGAAAGAAACCUACCACCAAAGCCAGUAAUUGAAUGGCGAGGACACCUACCCUGGAAGGUGGGAGACUUUACCACAGAGCAAGGAACUGAUUCUGUAUUUCAUAGAUUUCAUAGACAUUAGAGCUGGAAGGGACCUCAGGAGAUCAUCGAGUCCAGCCCCCUGCCCCAGGGGCAGGAAGUCAGCUGAGGUCAUAGGAUCCCAGCAAGAUAAGCAUCCAAUUUACUCUUGAUGAGUGCUCUGCCAACAGGAUUGCUGUCCAUGCUGGGAGGCAGGGCUCUGAUGGCCACUUCCCCCACCCACAAAACCUUUUGAAAUAGCUGAUCUUUGUUCUGAUGUGCGACAGAAACCAGUUCUGAAACUUCAGUGUUUUCACAGGACAGAGUUCUCCUUCUCCAGCCAACCCCACUGAGAAUCCCGAGAGAGACUGGACAUGGACUUUCCCCAUGUUACUCCCCUGGGAGAGGGUACAGCAACCCUUGCACACAAAGGCAAGAAGGGACUCCGGAGAAAGGCAAAAAAUAUGCGUAUAAAAGAAACCAGUCAGAAAGAGAAAGAGCAGUAUGAGUCUGGGCAGAAGAUGCACUAUGCAUUCAGACUUCAGUUUGUGUAAAUAGUGGACUUAUUGCUUGGCCAGAAAGCCAAGUUUCCUCACUAACCAGACACACCGAAAACCAGAAAAUGACUGUGCAUGACAGGAAAUGGAGAAAGAGGCAGAAUCCAGUGAUGGCUCUGGAGACAGUUUGCUUCACUCAGACAUAUGGCUUUAAUACAACUGGGGCAGCUGUUCUGGCCAUUCACAGAAGGAAACAUCCUUACUGAUCAACUGCAAGAGAGUGCUGGAGGCAGCUGCAAGGUGACCACCGCACUGACCUCACCCAUUACAGAUGACUCCAACGUGUUAAGAAACAGCCAAGUGAGAUGGAGAUGGGAAGAAAUAAAA
rnacentral:lncRNA from 1 species